UCCCUGGUGGCUCAAAUGGUCAAGAAUCUGCCUGCAAUGCAGGAGACCCAGGUUCAAUCCCUGGCUAGGGAA
rnacentral:tRNA from 1 species